rnacentral:lncRNA from 1 species
CUUGCUGUGGUGUAGGCUGCAUCUAUAGUUCCGAUUUGAUCCCUAGCUUGGGAACUUUCAUAUGCCAUGGGUGCAGCCCUAAAAUAUACAUAUAAAAGAAAAAAAAAUAAAAGGUUAACUAUUUAGAAAAAGAUAAAAUUAAAUUUAUACCUCACGUCAUAUACAAAAGUAAACUGCAAAUGUGCCAGAGAUUUCAAUGUAAAGCAUGAAACUGUAUGAAUACAAAGGAAAAUAUGGGUGAAUUCUUAUAUGCCCUGGGUGUAAGAAAAGGAUUUCUAAAAUCCAGGUACAACAAAAGGAAAGAUUGGUAUAUUUGACUUUGUAAAAUUUUAAAGCAAGACUUUUGCAUGGUAAAAAAACAUUAACAGUAAAGCUAAAAGACAUGUAGAAAACUGGGAGAAAAUACUUGCGUUAUUUAUCACAGAUUAAGUAUUCAUAUCCCUCAUAUAAAGACAAAAUAGAGAUUCAGUAGAAAAUAGAUAAAAGAUAUGGACAGAUGGUUCUCACAAAAAGCUAUAAAAAUUUCCCGUAAACAUACAAGAUAUUCACUGUUACUUAUAAUAAGAGAAAUCCAAGUUAAAACUUGCCCUGAGAUGCCCAUUUUCACCUGUGAGGUUGGCAGAAAUUUAAAAGUACAAUCAAAUGCUGUUAGCUGUAAGGAAAGAGUAUUUUCAUGUUUUGCCGAUGGUAAUGCAAACUGCUAUUUUGAUGGCUGUACCGCAGGUUGGCACAGAGAAGAUCAAGAAAUAGCUUCCUUCCAUAGCCAGAGGGCAAGGGAAGGCAAGAGUCCAUUAUCUGAGGCACUUUAGGACCAUUUCACUAGAUCCCCUCUUUCCCACAAAUCCCUGAGGUUAGAAGGAGGUGGGAAUUCUUAUUGCUCCUUCCUUUUUGGGCCUACCUUACUCAAAACUCUGUGAACUCUCCCACCAGAACUAUCUUUUGAGAUGCUAAUGGUGUAUUAAAGAAUACAAAUAAUCCUUUCACUUGACAGUAGUGGGAGUACAAUAUGGGAAGCCAUGUUUUUGAUUGUAGGAAAGUUGUUCCUUUGGUACCAAGUCAUGAUCUCUCUCGAGGUUAAUUGAUUCAUCUGGCAUGUUAGAGCAAAGGUCAGGUAAAUUGGAAAGGCCAGAAUUACGUCAAUAGUAAAUAAAAUAAUACCCAUUAACUGUUAUUACAUAAAUCAUGUAUUACAUAAACAUGCAGUUAAAUAUUUAGGUUGAUAAUACAAGGAAAGUUAACUAAUCUGGACUUAGCGAUGCCCUUGACUGCAUGUCAUCGUAUUCAGCAUUAUUUUGUUUGUGCUAGCUGUUAAAACUUAAAUAGAAGGUGAUGUGACAAUUCAUGAUAACAAAGUCAUAUUAAAAAGUGAGUUAUCCUCUAGGUGAGGAUAUAAAAUGGUAUGAGCUGCUUUGGAAAUCUCUGUGUCUGUUCCUCAAAAUGUUAAUCCUAGAGUUACCAUAUGAGCCAGUUGUUCUGCUUCUAAGUAUAUACCCAAGAGAAAUGAAAAUAAGUCCAUUUAGAAACUUGUGUUUAUAGUUCAUAAUAGCUAAGAAGUAAGAGACAAGCCAAAUGUCUGUUGACUGAUGAAUAUAUAAUGUUUUGUAUACCCAUAUGAUAGAGAAUUAAUCCACCAUAAAAAUGAAGUAAUAUAUUGAUACAUGCUACAACAUGGAUGAACCUAAAAAAUAUGGUAAGGGAAAGAAGCCAGUUAAAAAAGAUCACAUACUGUAUGAUUCUGUUAACAUGAAAUGUCUUGAAUAGGAAAUCUAUAAAGAUAGAAAGUAGAUUGGUAGUUACCUAGGCCGUGGAAGUUGCAAGAGUUAGUUUGAGGGAGAAAGAGGAGUGACUGCUAAUGGAUAUGGGUUUCUUGGGGGUGUUUUGUGACAAAAGUGUUCUAAAAUUGAUAGUGUUGAUGAUUGCAAAACUAUGAAUAUACUAGUAACUAUUGAAUUGUACACUUUAUUUGAACUUUGAAGUAUGUGAAUUAUAUCUCAGUGAAGUUAUUAUUUAUGAAUUACCUACAUUUAGUGACUAAUAAGUUUUUUCCGCCAUCACUAAAAUGCCUUGACCCAUUCUUAAACAUCGCUGGUGAGAAUGCAGAUUAGCCCAAAUUUUUUGAAAAGGACUUUGGCAACUUUUUUAACAAAACUGUGUAUGCAUUUGCUUUUUGACCCAGCACUUCCACUUCUGGAAAUUUACCCUAAAGACUUGCUACCAGAGUACAAAUGGACAGAAUUAUUCAUUGCAGCAUUUAAGUGUAAUUGUAAAACAGUGGAUACAACCUAAAUGUCAAUACAGAGGAGAAUGAUUAAAUAAAAACUAUAGUAUAUCCGUAUAGUGCAUGUACCUAAAAGGAUGAGGAAACCUGUGAAUUGAUAAGGAAUGAUUUCUAGGAUUAAUAUGGUUACCUCAAGCAAACUACAGAUGAGCAUAUCUGUACUACACUACCUUAUGUGAGAAAGAAGGUGACAUAAGAAAUUAUAUAUCUAGGAGUUCCCAUUGUAAGUGGGUGAAAACAAAUCUGAAUAGUUUCCAUGAGGAUGCAGGUUCGAUCCCUGGUCUCACUCAGUGGGUCAGGGAUCCCACGUUGCCGUGGCUGUAGUGUAGGCCGGCAGCUGUAGCUCUGACUUGACCCCUAGCCUGGGAACUUCCAUAUGCUGUGGAUGCAGCCCUCAAAAGCAAAAAAAAAAAAAA